ACAGAAAACUUCCUGCUCUGAAAAUUCUUCCUCUGGUGGAAUGUGAGGUGCCCAGUUCCUCCAGGGUACUUGGCCAACCCUAAUCUGAUCUUUGGGCCUAACACCAUCCUCUACAAAGUCUCCCCCGUACCAAGGAAGAUCCAGAAGUUAUGAUUGAGAUGUAUGUUCCCAGGGCCUGGAUAUUUU
rnacentral:lncRNA from 1 species